rnacentral:rRNA from 1 species
CCCUUAGAUGUUCUGGGCUGCACGCGUGCUACACUGAUAUUGACAAUAUGUCAUUCUUAUCCGAAAUGGAUUGGGUAAUCAAGUAAUGAAAUUUCAUGCUUGGAAUCGGUAAUUGCAAUUUUAUCGUGAACGAGGAAUUCCUAGUAAGCACUAGUCAUCAGCUAAUGUUGAUUAUGUCCCUGCCCUUUGUACACACCGCCCGUCGCUACUACUGAUUGGGUGUUCAAGUGAGAUGCUUAGACCCUUGUUGCAUGGUUCAUUAUUGUGCUCCGAAAGGAAAAAGUUUCAAGCUUGAGUGUCUAGAGGAAGUAAAAGUCGUAACA